AUGUUAUUAAGUGACAAAACCAUAGAAUAUUUUAUAGAUGCAAAGGUUAGAAAAUACGACUGAAGUAGUCAUGCUUAUUUAUGUUAUGAUUAUUUUCCUUUGUCUACUUCUUGUUACAAUGAACGUUAAUGCGGUUAUUAAAUGCUUUCAAGAUUCCGAUUGUCCAAAAUAUAUGUGCAUGUUUCCUCUUAAACCAAAGUGUGUUUAUAUAUUAGUUUUUCCCCCUCCCUGGACUGCCCAAUGUAUAUGUGAUUGAGAGAUGUUCUCAUAAUAUUACUCUAUAAAGUUAGAUAAGCCGUCAACUGAUAAAAAUGUCGAAAUUGUUAGGUCGGAUGUUAUGAUUGGAGUUCAAACCUCGACCUCCACUUUAUGUAUGUGAGUUUAUGAUAGCAUCUAAUAAUUUUUAUUUUUAUUUUUCUAUUUUUACGGACAAUAUUGUUAUGGAUUUUGUACUCUUAGUUGAUGGCGAAGAAAUGUAAUACGGAAUUGGUGAAAUUCCAAUGUUAUUUGUUAUUUUCUUUUA